GCCUGCAUGAAGCUGGAAUUGCUAGUAAUCGCGGAUCAGCAAGCCGCGGUGAAUACGUUCCCGGGCCUUGUACACACCGCCCGUCACACCAUGAGAGUCGGGAACACCCGAAGUCCGUAGUCUAACCGCAAGGGGGGCGCGGCCGAAGGUGGGUUCGAUAAUUGGGGUGAAGUCGUAACAAGGUAAC
rnacentral:rRNA from 1 species